AGGACUAGGUGUAUCUCAGGAGAGAUUUGGGAGAAGGAUUUUCUCAAGGUUGCCGAUUACGAGAUUCCACCGAUCCAAGCAGUCGGUUCUGACGAAGGUUUUUAAUGGAUAGGUUCGCCGAUGAUGGAAAGUUAGGCUAAGGAUUUGUAACACCCUAGGUGUUAAGCAAGCACUUAGUCUCAUCAAAGUCAUGCAUAAGCACUCUCAUCAAUCAUA
rnacentral:lncRNA from 1 species